UACGGGGGGGGGCAAGCGUUGUUCGGAAUUACUGGGCGUAAAGGGCUCGUAGGCGGCCAACUAAGUCAGACGUGAAAUCCCUCGGCUUAACCGGGGAACUGCGUCUGAUACUGGAUGGCUUGAGUUUGGGAGAGGGAUGCGGAAUUCCAGGUGUAGCGGUGAAAUGCGUAGAUAUCUGGAGGAACACCGGGUGGCGGAAGGCGCAUCCUGGACCGGAUACUGACGCUGAGGAGCGAAGCCAGGGGAGCAAACGGGG
rnacentral:rRNA from 1 species